GAUGAACGCUAGCGGCAGGCUUAAUACAUGCAAGUCGUGGGGGCAGCAUGGGGUAGCAAUACUCUGAUGGCGACCGGCAAACGGGUGCGGAACACGUACGCAACCUUCCCAAAACUGGUGAAUAGCCCUCCGAAAGGAGGAUUAAUACACCGUAACAUAACGAAGUGGCAUCACUUUGUUAUUAUAGCUCCGGCGGUUUUGGAUGGGCGUGCGCCUGAUUAGGUAGUUGGCGGGGUAACGGCCCACCAAGCCUACGAUCAGUAACUGGUGUGAGAGCACGACCAGUCACACGGGCACUGAGACACGGGCCCGACUCCUACGGGAGGCAGCAGUAAGGAAUAUUGGUCAAUGGACGCAAGUCUGAACCAGCCAUGCCGCGUGAAGGAUGAAGGUCCUCUGGAUUGUAAACUUCUUUUAUCUAGGGAACGAAAAAGGGCUUUCUAGCUCACUUGACGGUACCAGAGGAAUAAGCACCGGCUAACUCCGUGCCAGCAGCCGCGGUAAACUGUACG
rnacentral:rRNA from 1 species